AGGCUUGUAGCUCAGGUGGUUAGAGCGCACCCCUGAUAAGGGUGAGGUCUGCGGUUCGAUCCCGCAUAGCUCCACCA
rnacentral:tRNA from 1 species